CCCCCGAGGGCUCCGUGGUCGCUGCGCAUGCGUUAGCUGAGAGAAGGUGAGAAAGGAGGACAAGUUGGCUUUACCGGAUGUGACGUCACAUUGUUGUUUGUUUUUGCUUUUAUGAAAUAACUACUCUCGAACUCAGAUGGCAUGGCUCGCGUCUCGUUCGCGCGCGUACGUAUGUAUGUGGUCCGCUUUUAGUUUUUGGCGAAUGCUUAGAAGCUUCAAGUUGCGGACACUGCGGUGGGCCAGGGCUUGAUGACAUUUGUUGCCCAGCUGCUGGUGCUACCGCGACGUACUUGGAACAACGCUUCUGCUUAUUUCCUCUGCCUGCACCUUAUAUUUGUUGUGUUUAUCGAGACCUGGCCUGUCUCUGCCUCGUUGAAGACAAAUGGACACAAGUA
rnacentral:lncRNA from 1 species